UACGAAGGGGGCUAGCGUUGCUCGGAAUUACUGGGCGUAAAGGGCGCGUAGGCGGACAUUUAAGUUAGAGGUGAAAGCCCAGGGCUCAACCCUGGAAUAGCCUUUAAUACUGGAUGUCUUGAGUUCGGGAGAGGUGAGUGGAAUGCCGAGUGUAGAGGUGAAAUUCGUAGAUAUUCGGCGGAACACCAGUGGCGAAGGCGACUCACUGGCCCGAUACUGACGCUGAUGCGCGAAAGCGUGGGGAGCAAACAGG
rnacentral:rRNA from 1 species